CAGUGGAGAGUUUCAUUAGGAUCACCUGGGCCCGGCAGCCGGGGACCUGCUGGGGUUUCCUGUGAAGCGCAGAUCUAUAAACCUACAGGAUUGACACAGCUCUUCCUGAAGCAUCAAUUUAUUUGAUGAGUAAUUUCAAAAUGUUACUUUUGAAAAGAUAAUGCUAUUUUUGUACUAAAAUGGAACACAAGAAUUUGACUGCAAAAUUCACCUGUUCAAAAUAAAUGAGACAUGUAAUUUCUUACAAACCCCAAAACUCGGGGGGUCCUAGGGUGGGGGUAGUUUUCUGCAGGGCGAUGACAUAUCCUGCAGCGAAGUCUCAGAAACCCUGCUCUGGGCAGUCCAUCUAUUUGUCCACUCAUGUUCUUAGACACAUCCCAGGGGCUGGCCCUGAGCUACUGGGAUGACUGGAGGAGCAUCCAGGGCUGGGGGAGGGGAGUGACUCCCACACAGCAGGUACCCGGAGGUAGGAGGCUGGAUCCACGGAAGGUUCUGAUGUCAGCACUGUCUGUACCACAAGAUGGCUUUACUGAAAUGCCGAGUGCAGGAGCUUAAUCAUGGCGCAUGUGGAAACCAGCCAGAACCACGCCCGCUGCCCAAGAGCUAGGCUCUGAUGAGGCUGCAGGUAGCAUCGACCCGGUACCUGCUUCCACCAGGGCCCAGGCUGAGCCCUCAUGGCACAAGGGUGCCCAUAGGCGUGUGGUGGAUGGGUGGACAUCUCGGCUAACGCUCCCGUCACCUGUACCUGUCUCCCCAUCAGUAGGGCAGGGGCAGCUCUCACUUCUCACGGCUAUGGCCACUCGAUGUGUUCAGCAAUCUAAGUGGGUCGUCGCCUCAUUUUGUACAUGAAAAACCAGCCCAAGUUACUGCCCAAGGUCACACGGCCAUUCCCUCUGUCCCUUCCUCCCUGACUCAUGCCAUGCUUGUGUGAGGGGCUGCUGCGUGCCUGGCUGGGACCUAGUGGAAUAAGAGAGAAAGCCCUUGCUCCCGUGGAGCAGGCGAGAGGCGACACGGAUACAGGCUGAGAGUGAGUGACCCAUGGAGGAAACAACAGGGAGACGGGCAGGGGGCGGUGGGGUGGGGGCCAGGGAAGGGCUCUUUCCAGAGGGGGCAUCUGUGCUAAGACCUGAGGGACAAGAAGGAACUAGCCCCGCAAACAACACAAUCGGGUGCUUUUCCCUUUGAUGUCUGAGCAGCCUGGAGUCGCUCCAGACAGGCCCGGCUGCCCCCACU
rnacentral:lncRNA from 1 species